UUAAAUGUCCAAUGGUUGCUAGGUUGUGAUGUGAUUGAGAGGUGGUGGGGCCUUUAAGAGGUGGAGCCCAGUGGAAGGAAGCUAGGACACUGGGGGCGUGUCCUUGAAGAGGAUACUAGGACCCAGCUCUUCCUCUCUGUCUCUCUUUGUUCCUGGCCACCAUCAAGUGAGCAGCUCUGUUCCAUCACACACUGUCCACCAGAAUGUUCUGCCUCACCCAUGGCCAGUGGUGACGGGGUCAAAUGACGUGGACUGAAACCUAUGAAACUGUGAAUCUAUGUGUAUUGAGCACCUUAGAAAUCUAACAUCCUCCCUUGAGUGCCGGGAACAGACCACAAGCUGAUGCCAUACCGAUGUUUCUUUUUAAUCUUUUACCUGCUACUAAGGACCGCGCCAGCUGAGAGUCAGCCUUCUCCAAAAUGGAACAACCAAACCGUGUCACCGGGCUGGGCAUAUUUAGUGAGUCAACUGGUACCAAAUGCUGAACAACGUGUUCUUAGAAAAGCAUCUACUUACUGAGAUGGGAAAACUCGGAGGCACGUAUGCUCCUUAAUGUGGUAAUCCCACCCCAUCCUGACCUGAGACAGUGCUGAGCCGGAAGAGGGAGACCUGGGUAUCAGCCAAGUGGGAGGCCUCCCUGCCCUGCUUUAUCCCAAGACGAAUUUCAAGAAAAUCCUGUAGUCCACUGUAA